AGUACCACCAUACACAGCUUUUGUUGUUGUGAGAUGAGCUGGGUGUGGUGGCACAUGC
rnacentral:miRNA from 1 species